AGAGUUUGAUCAUGGCUCAGAACGUACGCUGGCGGCACGCCUAACACAUGCAAGUCGAACGAAGUAGCAAUACUUAGUGGCAGACGGGUGAGUAACAUGUAGGUAUCUGCCCUUUGGCCUGGAAUAACACGAGGAAACUUGUGCUAAUACCGGAUAAGUCUUUACGGAGAAAGCUUUAUGCACCAUUGGAUGAGCCUGCACUUGAUUAGUUUGUUGGUGGGGUAAUGGCCUACCAAGACUGUGAUCAAUAGCUGAUUUGAGAGGAUGAUCAGCCACAUUGGGACUGAGACACGGCCCAAACUCCUACGGGAGGCAGCAGUGGGGAAUCUUGCACAAUGGAGGAAACUCUGAUGCAGCGAUGCCGCGUGAGUGAUGAAGGCCCUUGGGUUGUAAAGCUCUUUCGUCGGGGAAGAAAAUGACUGUACCCGAAUAAGAAGGUCCGGCUAACUUCGUGCCAGCCGCCGCGGUAAUUC
rnacentral:rRNA from 1 species